rnacentral:lncRNA from 1 species
CAGGUCCCCCUCUCCAUGUAAUCUGAUUCAUUAUGAUAUAGGAUCAGGUCCCCCUCUCCAUGUAAUCUGAUUCAUUAUGAUCUAGGAUCAGGUCCCCCCUCUCCAUGUAAUCUGAUUCAUUAUGAUCUAGGAUCAGGUCCCCCCUCUCCAUGUAAUCUGAUUCAUUAUGAUCUAGGAUCAGGUCCUCCUCUCCAUGUAAUCUGAUUCAUUAUGACAUAGGAUCAGGUCCCUCCUCUCCAUGUAAUCUGAUUCAUUAUGAUCUAGGAUCAGGUCCCUCCUCUCCAUGUAAUCUGAUUCAUUAUGAUCUAGGAUCAGGUCCCCCCUCUCCAUGUAAUCUGAUUCAUUAUGAUCUAGGAUCAGGUCCCCCCUCUCCAUGUAAUCUGAUUCAUUAUGAUCUAGGAUCAGGUCCCUCCUCUCCAUGUAAUCUGAUUCAUUAUGAUCUAGGAUCAGGUCCCUCCUCUC